GUCCUUGUAGCUUAUUAUAAAGCAUGACACUGAAGAUGUUAAGAUGGUAGCUCAUAUCCAAGGACA
rnacentral:tRNA from 1 species